rnacentral:rRNA from 1 species
CGAGCGAGAACCGGGGCUUCGGCCCCGGGGACAGCGGCGAACGGGUGAGUAACACGUGGAUAACCUGCCCUCGGCACCGGGAUAGCCCGGGGAAACCCGGAUUAAUACCGGAUGGCCCUUCGGCCCUUCGGGGCGGUCGGGAAAGGUAGCUUCGGCCUCUGGCCGAGGAUGGGUCCGCGGCGGAUUAGCUUGUUGGCGGGGUAACGGCCCACCAAGGCAACGAUCCGUAGCUGGUCUGAGAGGACGAUCAGCCACACUGGGACUGAGACACGGCCCAGACUCCUACGGGAGGCAGCAGUGGGGAAUCUUGCGCAAUGGGCGAAAGCCUGACGCAGCGACGCCGCGUGAGGGAAGAAGGCCUUCGGGUUGUAAACCUCUUUCAGGAGGGACGAAGCCACUCGGGUGAAUAGCCCAGAGGGUGACGGUACCUCCAGAAGAAGCCCCGGCUAACUACGUGCCAGCAGCCGCGGUAAUACGUAGGGGGCGAGCGUUGUCCGGAUUUACUGGGCGUAAAGAGCGUGUAGGCGGCCAGGCAGGUCUGUUGUGAAAACUGGAGGCUCAACUUCCAGACGUCGACAGAAACCGCUUGGCUAGAGUCCGGAAGAGGAGAGUGGAAUUCCUGGUGUAGCGGUGAAAUGCGCAGAUAUCAGGAAGAACACCAAUGGCGAAGGCAGCUCUCUGGGACGGUACUGACGCUGAGACGCGAAAGCGUGGGGAGCGAACAGGAUUAGAUACCCUGGUAGUCCACGCCGUAAACGAUGGGUGCUAGGUGUGGGAGGUGUCGACUCCUCCCGUGCCGCAGCUAACGCAUUAAGCACCCUGCCUGGGGAGUACGGCCGCAAGGCUAAAACUCAAAUGAAUUGACGGGG